rnacentral:rRNA from 1 species
CAACUUUCAACAACAGAUCUCUUGGUUCUGGCAUCGAUGAAGAACGCAGCGAAAUGCGAUAAGUAGUGUGAAUUGCAGAAUUCAGUGAAUCAUCGAAUCUUUGAACGCACAUUGCGCCCCUUGGUAUUCCAUGGGGCAUGCCUGUUCGAGCGUCAUUUG